rnacentral:rRNA from 1 species
AUACGGAGGGUGCGAGCGUUAAUCGGAAUUACUGGGCGUAAAGCGUACGUAGGCGGUUUGCUAAGUCAGAUGUGAAAGCCCCGGGCUUAACAUGGGAACUGCAUUUGAUACUGGCAGACUAGAGUAUGAUAGAGGGGGGUAGAAUUCCUGGUGUAGCGGUGAAAUGCGUAGAUAUCAGGAGGAAUACCAGUGGCGAAGGCGGCCCCCUGGAUCAAUACUGACGCUGAGGUACGAAAGCGUGGGGAGCGAACAGGAUUAGAAACCCUUGUAGUCC